UACGUAGGGACCGAGCGUUGUCCGGAUUCAUUGGGCGUAAAGAGCUCGUAGGCGGUCUGUCGCGUCGAUCGUGAAAACUUGGGGCUUAACCCUGAGCUUGCGGUCGAUACGGGCAUGACUGGAGUUCGGCAGGGGAGACUGGAAUUCCUGGUGUAGCGGUGAAAUGCGCAGAUAUCAGGAGGAACACCGGUGGCGAAGGCGGGUCUCUGGGCCGAUACUGACGCUGAGGAGCGAAAGCGUGGGGAGCAAACGGG
rnacentral:rRNA from 1 species